GACGAACGCUGGCGGCGUGCUUAACACAUGCAAGUCGAACGGAAAGGCCCUGCUUUUGUGGGGUGCUCGAGUGGCGAACGGGUGAGUAACACGUGAGUAACCUGCCCUUGACUUUGGGAUAACUUCAGGAAACUGGGGCUAAUACCGGAUAGGAGCUCCUGCUGCAUGGUGGGGGUUGGAAAGUUUCGGCGGUUGGGGAUGGACUCGCGGCUUAUCAGCUUGUUGGUGGGGUAGUGGCUUACCAAGGCUUUGACGGGUAGCCGGCCUGGGAGGGUGACCGGCCACAUUGGGACUGAGGUACGGCCCAGACUCCUACGGGAGGCAGCAGUGGGGAAUAUUGCACAAUGGGCGGAAGCCUGAUGCAGCAACGCCGCGCGGGGGAUGACGGCCUUCGGGUAGUAAACCGCUUUCGCCUGUGACGAAGCGUGAGUGACGGUAUGGGUAAAGAAGCACCGGCUAACUACGUG
rnacentral:rRNA from 1 species